rnacentral:lncRNA from 1 species
UCAUAUUUAGCUACGAUAUAUUUUGUAGCUAUAGAUGCAUAAUGUACGUUAACGUCGUAAGAUGAUUCAAAAUCGAAUACGGCUGUUUUUUUAAUAUCAAGACAUAAUUUUAUAAGGCUAAUCUUUCCAUCUACUCAAUCACUCUCUUAUCUCUCCCUUUCCCAAGACCAAAUUUUCCAUCUAAUCACCCUCCCCCUAUAAUGCCACUUUCUUGAACUCUCCCUUUUCCAAAUUUAGUCUAUCAGUGUACUAAUUGACGAAUUUAUUAAGUUUGCAUCUAAGCUUAAACUGGUAUGUGAAAGAGCAAUUUCUCAAGUCUGCAUCUUAGCUUAAAUUGGCAUGUGAAAAAGGAAUUUCUCCCUUGCAUUUUUCCCUCUUCUCCAUCUCGUUUCAGCAAACAUGAGCAAUUCUCAAGGGAACAAAAUUUAUACUACCUUAAGCUUAAAGUUAAAUCUUUUAUAUCUUCUAUCCAAGGAAGCAAAUUAUUUUGAGUAGAUUUUUUCGUUUUCAUCCCUACACAAAGUUAAAUCUCUUUUUUUAUUUUCUGUCCAAAUUACCAAAAAAGAAAGUAUUCAAAAAGCUUCUCUCCCUUCACACUUUAAACAAAUCAUCAGUUUUACACCAUUGCAACUGGUUUGAGAUAUAUCUUGCCACGUUUUAUGUCAUAUGCUUUAAAACUUUUUUAGAGUCAGAUGAUAACUAGAAAGAAAAGAAGAUCUGAGCCAUCAGGGAAGAAUUCCCAAGAUGCUAUGACUGAUCCAGUAGAGCCAUUUCAAAUUACUGAGCAGUCCAUAGGUAGAGGAAAAUCUUAUUCGCUCUCUGCUAGGACAAUUAAAACAGUAAGGUCAUCGAGUUCUAGGUAAUGUAUUUUUGCUCUCUCUCUCUCUUUUCCCUUCUCCCUUCUCCCUCCUCCUCCAUGGAUCCUUCAAUCUCCUCCUCCCUUUUAUCCUUAAUUUUUUAACUUAUUUUUUUCGUUUUGCAACAGUUGCGCCGCGUUGGCAGCUCCACCAUCUUUUUUCUCCGGCAUUUUUUCCGGCGAGGUAAGUAUUUCUUGACAUAUAUCUUAUUUUUAUUGUUAAAUUUGUAUUAAUUUUAAUUGUUGUAGGCUUAUUGAAUUUUCUAUAUAUGAACAUCCUAGCUAGUUAAAGUAGGUAUGGUUUGUUACGAUAAAUAUCAUAUUAUGGUGGAUGUCUACUCUUCCUCCAUGAUCUUCGUGUCAAAUGCUUAAUGACAUAUUUUCUAUGUUCAAUGACAUAUUCCAUGACAUAUUUUCUUCACUUUUCGUACCUAUAUAAAGGCCUUGUAAUAGAUAGGAAAAUACACACAAUUAAAGAAAAAAAUAUCUUCCUUCUCUCUAUCUCCAUUUCUUGUUCAUGUUUUACUAAAUUGCUUUUAUUUCCUUGUUCCUUAUUGCUACUUUGAGUUAUAUUUCAUAACAUGGUUGAAUUUUUAGGGAUUUUAGUUUUUGUAGGUUUAUUUGAUUUAGGCAUGGUUGAAUUGGCAUUAUGUAAAAUUUAAUUGUAUAUUUCUCUUUGUAUGCUAUAAGUUUUUAGGGUUCCAUAUAAGAAAAUCAUAACACCAUUGCCUUGAAUUUAUCUAUGGAAUGAUAUAUUAACUUUAUAGUUUAUUGAUUUUAAUUGUAUUAACUAGUUAUAAUUUAAAGUUUUGGUUAAAGUUUGGUGUACUAGGUUCAUUGUUGCUUGCUAGUUUUACUAUUGGAAUGAUAUUAAAUUUAAUGUUUUUCAAUUUUAGCAUUAAAAUUAAUUUGUGUAUUUGAGAAAUUAAAUCAUUAGUUUAGAUUAUAUGAAUAUUUAAGAAGCUAUUCAAAUUUAAUUAUUAUAGCUAAAGAUUUAUAUAAAUUAGAAUAGGAAUUAAUGUGGUAUUACGAGUGUUAAAAAUAUUAAUUUAACAAAUAAAAUAUAUCAAUUAAAGUGCUUUGACGCAAUGAUAUGUAUAUAUCUAAAAGGAACCUCUGAAAGAAUAUAAUUUUGUAAUCAGUUUAAAGAAAACCUACAAUAGUGGAGUGUAGGUGAAAGGUGAUGGAGUUGUUGAUUAUUAUGGUGUGCUUCAAGAGAUUUUGGAACUAGAAUAUAUUGUAGGUUAGCUGAAGAAAAAAUUGGUACUCUUUCGAUAUAAAUGGUAUAAUCCAACACCGAAUAGAGGUACAAAGGUGAGUACAAAAUAGUUGAAAUUAAACACACAUUGCAGUAUAGACUUUAUGAUCCAUUUAUCAUUGCAGAAAAGGUGAAACAAGUGUAUUAUGCUCCUUAUCCUUUGAGCAAGAAUAAGUCUGCAUGGCGGGUAGUACUGAAAACAAAGCCCGUGAGUAGAGUGGAAGUCGAAGAUGCAUUAGAUGUGGCAUAGCAAAAUGACAUUUCAAGUGUUGAAGCAAUAGUGGAUGAUGAAUUAGCAAAUGAAUUACAGCAUAAUGAAGGCAUAUAUGAAGAAUUUGAUUCUUCUGUCCUUGGCCCAAAUGAGGACGAAGAUAGAGGUGUUGAACAUGAAAUAAGUGAUGAGGAAGAAUUACUAGAUGAAAAUGAAACAGGCAAUGAUGAAGACUUAGAUGAUCACUAUGAAGAUAGCGAUACGGAUUGACUUGUUAAUGUAACGACCCGACCGGUUGUUUUGAGCUCUAACGCGUCGUUCCGCAGUUUGAGGCCAUGAGCAGCUUCACUUCAGGUAUUAUGACUUGUGCGCACGGUCGAAAUUGAAUUCCGGGAAGUUCAGAGUUGAUUUGGAAAGAGAAUUCUCAUUUCGUAAGCUUUAAGUUGAAAGAAUGGACUAAGAUUGGGUUUUGAAUAAAUGACCUCCGAAUCUGGAUUCGAAGGUUCUAGCAGGUUCAUAUGAUGAUUUUGGACUUGGGCGUAUGUCCGAACCAGAUUUUGGAAGACCCGUGAACGUUUCGGCGCCUAUUGUGAAAGUUAGCAUUUUGGAAGAAUCUCAUAAGUUUGGGUUGAAGUGCAUUUCAGUGUUAUCAAUGUCCGUUCAGGAUUCCGAGUCUGGGAAUAGCUCCGUAUGGUGAUUCUGGGAUUGGGAGUGCGACCGGAAGUGAAUUCGGAGAUCCGUAGGUCAUUUUGGAGUCAUUUAGCUAAAUAUAGAAAUUUGAAGGUUUUUGAGAAGUUUGACUGGUAGUGGACUUUUUGAUAUCGGGGUCGAAUUUCGAUUCCGGAAGUUGAACUAGGUCCGCAAUGUCAAAUAUGACUUGUAUGAAAAAUUUGAGGUCAAUCGGACGUGAUUUGAUAGGUUUAAACACCGAAAGUAGAAGUUUGAAAUUUUAGAGUUCAUUAAGCUUGGAUUGGAGGCCGAUUCAUGAUUUUAGCGUUGUUUGAUAUGAUUUGAGGCCUCGAGCAAGUCCGUAAUGUGUUUUGGGAUUAGUUAGUGUGAUUGGACAGGGUCCCGGGGUCCUCGGGUGAAUUCCGGGUGGUUAACAGAUUGAAUUGGGGUUGGAAAGAUUAGCUGAAGCAGCUGGUAUCUUGUAUGACCGCACCUGCGAAGUUUUUGGCCGCAGGUGCGGAGCCGUAGAAGCGGCAAAUAGGAUGCAAAUGCGGUGGUGAAAGGUGAAGGCUGGGACCACAGAUGCGGUCAGGUCACCGCAGAAGCGGGACCGCACCUGCGGAAGAAAGAGCGCAGAAUCGGAAAUGGGCUGGGAGCCCCGGACCGCAGAAGCGGCAAUUCGUCCGCGCCUGCGGGACCGCAGAAGCGGUCAAGAGACCGCAGGUGCGGAAGUGCUGGAGAUAGUAGGAUCUUUAAAAAUUGGGAGGUUGGUCAUUUUCCCCCAUUUUUACUUGGUGUGGACGAUUUUGGGGAGUUUCAAGUGGGGUUUUUCAUCAUCAACGACAAAGUAAGCUAACCCCACCUAUCUUAAGUUAAAUACAUGGGUUAUGAUUAGAUUAACAUGUGAAAAUUAGGGAAAAUCAAGGGGUUUAGAUGAAAAACCUAAAAUUUGGUAAAAACAAGAUUUAACCACGAAAUUUGUUAGGGAAUGGAGUAAAAAUCAUAUAUUUUUGAUCCUUAGGUUAUGGGUAACAAUUUUCUUCAAAAAUUUCCGGAAUCCGGGGAUGAAUUUUAGGAACCUUGCAUUUAGGGUUGGGAAAUUGGUUUAAUAAUUAAAAUAUGAACUUUUGAGCAUGUAUUGACUAGUUCUUACCCUUUUUGAAUAGUUGAUAACUAGGGAUUUUGAUGCAUUUUAUACUCCUUCUUGCUUGUGCUUUGAUUAGAAAUUCACACAAAAUAGUCCCGAAAGGCUCACAAGUUGUGCUUGAUUGCAGAUUUUCUCAACAAAGUGACAAAAUGUCAAAGAUCAGCUCAAAAGAAGUGAAACUUGCACAAGUGCCAAAGACAAGACAAGCUCAUGCAAAAUAGGCCCAGUGCGGCCGCACACCACUUUGUGCGGUCCGCACUAGGAGAUUCAGAGAGCAUGAUUUCCAGGCUAAGAGGCAGUGCGGCUGCACUAGGUUUUGUGCGGUCCGCACUGAAGACAAUGUGGCCGCACUACCAUUUUGUGUGAUCCGUAGAGCUGAGAAUCAGAGAAGUGUCAAGUUGGAGCUUUCAAGCCAAUGCGGUCCGCAAUCCAUUUUGUGCGGACCGAAAAAGAAGCCUCCACGGUCACAGUCCAUUCUGUGCGGUCCGGGAGCCCGAGUUCAGAGAACCAGAUCAUCAAGUUCAGAGCUCUAGUGUGGCCGCACACCAUUUUGUGCGGUCCGCACUAACCCCACAGGGGCAUUUUUGUCCAGAUUUUUUGGCUUAGUAUAAAUAGAUUCUUUUUCCAUUUUUAAGGUAUCAGAUAGUUUUUAGAAACAGCUAUGCUCGUGGGAACGACUCUUGUAGCCAUUUUGGGCAAUUUUAUCUACUUUGCAAACAUUGAAUCUUUAUUUUUAUCUUAGUAAUUAAUUAAUAUGAGUUCAUUCUUCAUCUAUUUCUUGUUUUUCUUCUUUGAAUAUGAGUAGUGGACCCCAUAGCUAGGGUUGUGGCUCAACCCUAGUGUGGGUAAUUGAUGAGUCUUNN